rnacentral:rRNA from 1 species
GGUGCUUCUUCUGCGAGUACGUCACAGUCAGCAGAUAUUAGCUACUGACCUUUCCUCCUCGCUGAAAGUGCUUUACAACCCGAAGGCCUUCUUCACACACGCGGCAUGGCUGCAUCAGGGUUUCCCCCAUUGUGCAAUAUUCCCCACUGCUGCCUCCCGUAGGAGUCUGGACCGUGUCUCAGUUCCAGUGUGGCUGAUCAUCCUCUCAGACCAGCUAGGGAUCGUCGCCUUGGUGAGCCAUUACCUCACCAACUAGCUAAUCCCACCUGGGCAUAUCCAAUCGCGCAAGGCCCGAAGGUCCCCUGCUUUCCCCCGUAGGGCGUAUGCGGUAUUAGCAGUCGUUUCCAACUGUUAUCCCCCUCGACUGGGCAAUUUCCCAGGCAUUACUCACCCGUCCGCCGCUCGCCGGCAAAAGUAGCAAGCUACUUUCCCGCUGCCGCUCGACUUGCAUGUGUUAGGCCUGCCGCCAGCGUUCAAUCU